UAGGGAAUCUUCGGCAAUGGACGAAAGUCUGACCGAGCAACGCCGCGUGAGUGAAGAAGGUUUUCGGAUCGUAAAACUCUGUUGUUAGAGAAGAACAAGGACGUUAGUAACUGAACGUCCCCUGACGGUAUCUAACCAGAAAGCCACGGCUAACUACGUGCCAGCAGCCGCGGUAAUACGUAGGUGGCAAGCGUUGUCCGGAUUUAUUGGGCGUAAAGCGAGCGCAGGCGGUUUCUUAAGUCUGCCGUGAAAGCCCCCGGCUCAACCGGGGAAGGUCAUUGGAAACUGGGCGACUUGAGUGCAGAAGAGGAGAGUGGAAGUCCAUGUGUAGCGGUGAAAUGCGUAUAUAUAUGGAGGAAAACCAGUGGCGAAGGCGGCUUUCUGGUCUGUAACUGACGCUGAGGCUCGAAAGCGUGGGGAGUAAACAGG
rnacentral:rRNA from 1 species